rnacentral:lncRNA from 1 species
UGGGGCAUCUCACACCCCAUCUGGCCAUGGCACACUUUAAACUUUGUGCGAUACAGAUAGAGGAUUGAGAGGGCUUCAUUAUAGACAUAGAGAUUAGAUAAGAAGAAGAUUUAAAACCUCUUCAUCGAUCAAAACAAUUUCAGCCUUAUUAUUUUGUACGCUAGACUUGAUAGAGUCCUAACCAACUUGGACUCUAUAUAUGGUGCCCC